rnacentral:lncRNA from 1 species
UAUGUUCCCAAAUUGGGAACAAAGGGUGAGGAUUUCUUGUUUUUCCUCAGGAGGCUGAUCUCAUGUUUCAUUACUCAGGGCCCACUUUCAAUACGGCUUGUAAAGUAAUUUAAACCAGAGCCUUUGCUGUAUGUUUUCCUGGAGGGAACUCGGUUUUCUUUAACCAAAGGGAAGCCUGGAACAAGCAUCUCAAGGGACAAAACUACAUAAGAUAAUUUCCGCACAUACAUUGUAUGGCAGGCAACAAAUUCUUUAUUAUCAAAGUUUAAUUACUGAGGCAGAAACUACACCUUCUAGAAGACUUGACCUGCUA